rfam:Exiguobacterium sp. AT1b, complete genome.
UAAUUGAACAUGGCAUUCCUUCGUAUAUACUCGUGAAUUGGCGCGAGAGUCUCUACCGGACCACCGUAAAUGGACCGACUAUGAAGGAGCACGUUUCGUAU